rnacentral:rRNA from 1 species
AUACGGAGGGUGCAAGCGUUAUCCGGAUUUAUUGGGUUUAAAGGGUGCGCAGGCGGACCUGUCAGUCAGUGGUGAAAUCCCGGGGCUCAACCCCGGAACUGCCAUUGAUACUACAGGUCUUGAAUACGGUUGAAGUAGGCGGAAUGUAGCGUGUAGCGGUGAAAUGCAUAGAUAUGCUACAGAACACCGAUCGCGAAGGCAGCUUACUAAGCCGAUAUUGACGCUCAGGCACGAAAGCGUGGGGAGCGAACAGGAUUAGAUACCCUAGUAGUCC